GGGUGAGGGAAGGGGGAGGGUUGAAGGGAAAAUAAUGAAACAGAGGAAAAAAGAGAAUAACAAGUAAAAAGCAAUGCAUGUAAAUACAGAGCAAGCAAGUAGGAAAGCUAGGCAUAGCACAGCAAAAGAGAGCAAAGCAAAAGAAGGCAAAGAAUGACAAAAAGCAACCUUGCAGGAAUGGAGGAAUCUGUCCAGAGCUGUGCCCCUGCUUGCCACAGGAGCUGCGCGGGAGGAGAAGAACGUGGGCCAAAAGGUAAGAGGAGCUCCUUUGGGUUCUGGGCUUGAAGCAAAGCUGAGAAGCCAUGCCCGGGAGGAGGUGUGGGUAGCUACAGGCCACCUUGCUAUCUCCCCAAGAGAUGAGGUGGUGGGCUAGGCACCGGGCAGGAGUGCUGGCCAGAAGCAAGCAUCUCUGUGGAGGAAGGCAAAGGGCGGAGGAGGUUCAAGGGUAGCUACCGGGCAUGGCCUUGCUCAGCAAGGGGAGGAAAAGCCUGAAGGGCACGAGAAGGGGAUAGAGAAGGGCAGGCAGUAGGCGUGAAGCUGCGAGCAGAGUAGAGAGCAACUUGGCAGAGCAGCAAGCAGAGUAGGCAAGUGUUGAGGUUUGGCGUGAGUAGCAGCAAAAGCCCAGAGCAUCAAGAAGCAGGAAGUGAGGAGAAGGAAUGGAGGAAUCUGUCCAGAGCUGUGCCCCUGCUUGCCACAGGAGCUGCGCGGGAGGAGAAGAACGUGGGCCAAAAGGUAAGAGGAGCUCCUUUGGGUUCUGGGCUUGAAGCAAAGCUGAGAAGCCAUGCCCGGGAGGAGGUGUGGGUAGCUACAGGCCACCUUGCUAUCUCCCCAAGAGAUGAGGUGUGUGGGCUAGGCACCGGGCAGGAGUGCUGGCCAGAAGCAAGCAUCUCUGUGGAGGAAGGCAAAGGGCGGAGGAGGUUCAAGGGUAGCUACCGGGCAUGGCCUUGCUCAGCAAGGGGAGGAAAAGCCUGAAGGGCACGAGAAGGGGAUAGAGAAGGGCAGGCAGUAGGCGUGAAGCUGCGAGCAGAGUAGAGAGCAACUUGGCAGAGCAGCAAGCAGAGUAGGCAAGUGUUGAGGUUUGGCGUGAGUAGCAGCAAAAGCCCAGAGCAUCAAGAAGCAGGAAGUGAGGAGAAGGUAAGUGAAGGGCAGGCAAGGUAAUGGGAGGCAAAGGCAAGGGGAAAGGGGGGGUAAGGGAGAAAGAAGGGAUGGGGAUGGGGAGGGGAUGGGUGAAGAGCAGAGCGGAGGGAAGGGCUGAGGGGAGGGCUGAAGGCAAACCUAUGAUGAAAAAAGAAAAGAAAAAAUAAGAACAAAAAAUGAAAAAAGAGAAAAAGAAAAAAAAAAUAAGAAAAAGAGAAAAAAUGAAAAGAAAAAAAUGAAACAAAAAAGAGUAAAAAGAGAAAAAAAAGAAAAAGAGAAAAAAGAGAAAAGAAAAAAAGAAAAUGAACAAAAAGAGAAAAAAGAGAAAAGAUAAAAAAAGAAAAAGAUAAAGAAAAGAGAAAAGAAAAAAAGAAAAUAGAAAUAAAAAAGAGAAGAAAAAUAUGAAAAAAAGAAAAAGAAAAAAAGAAAAGAAAAAACAGUAGAUGAAAAAAGAAAAAAAAAGGAAAAACGAAUAAUGACAAGAGAAGAAAGGUAAAGAGAAAAGAAGAAAAAAGCCAAGUCAAAAAGUAAAGAAUAACUCGAAGGAAGGAGUGGAUGGCAAGAAAUACAGAGAAAGCAGUGCAUAGCACAGCAGAGCAAAGCAAGGCAAAAUAGCAGCCAAAGCCACGAGAAUCAAGAAGUCAGUGAAGAGCAGGAAAGGUAAGUUUCCCUUAAAGCAAG
rnacentral:lncRNA from 7 species